rnacentral:tRNA from 1 species
AAUUGCCGGGAUAGCUCAGUCGGUAGAGCAGAGGA